AUUCGAAAUUUGUAGUUAAUAAUGCAUAUGAAUUUCAGCUCCCGCAAAAGUAGACUGUAGUACUUUUGGGUAAGAAAUAGGCACACGGGGGGCCAGGUCGUAUCUAGAUAAAAAUAAAAUUUGAAUUAUUGACUGUGACUUGAGACCUGCAGCCCACAUCUCCAGUUCUCCACCCAGACUCUCACAUCCAUUUUCUUUGACCAGUAUCCCACUUGGCCGCCGCCGGCCACCGGAAACCUCUUCCGAUGAGGUCCUUACCUCUCCCCCUCCUCCUCCUCCUCUUCCACGUCCUCUCUCCUACUCUCGCCCUCGACUUCCUAUUCAACUCCUUCUCCAACGUCUCCAACGCCACCGACUUCACUCUCAUCAACGACGCCAGACUCGACGCCUCCACCGUCCGCCUCACAAACGACUCCGUUCAGUACUCACUCGGCCGCCUCUUCCACACCACCAAGCUCACCAUGAGACCUAAUUCCACCUCCGCUUCCCUCGCUUCCUUUUCAACCUCCUUCGUCUUCUCCGAUCUCCCCGAAAUCGCUUCCAGCCCAGGCUUCGGCCUCUGCUUCGUCCUCUCCAACUCCACCUCUCCCCCCAACGCCCUCGCCAGCCAGUACUUCGGUCUCUUCUCAAACGCAACCCAGGUCGUAGCUCCCUUACUCGCCGUCGAAUUCGACACGGGCCGAAACACCGAGUUCAACGAUCCCGACGGAAACCACAUCGGAAUCGACCUCAACAGGGUCAUAUCGGAGGUCACUAGGCCCGCCGGCUACUACAAUUCCACCGGCGGCUUCGUUCCGGUUCAGAUGCGGAGCGGCGAGAACGUCCGGACUUGGAUCGAAUUCGACGGUGAUAAUCUCGAAAUCAACGUCACCGUGGCUCCGGCUAAUCUGCCACGGCCUACUCUGCCUACGCUGAGCUUCAAAGACCCAAGGAUUGCGAACUACGUGUCGUCGGAGAUGUUCGUUGGGUUUUCGGCGUCGAAAACGGAGUGGAUUGAGGCGCAGAGAAUUUUGGCUUGGAGUUUCAGUGACACUGGGGUUGCUAAAGAGAUCAACGUGACCAAUUUGCCUGUCUUCAAGCUCGAGGCUUCUUCGAAAUCCUUGCCUAAGGGAGCCAUUGCUGGUAUUACAAUAGGUUGCGUUUUGUUUGUGGUGACUUCAGCUUAUGGAGUGUACUUGUAUUGGAGGAAGAAGAAGCUGGAGGAUGAAGAAGAUGAUGAGAUUGAGGAUUGGGAGAUGGAGUAUUGGCCCCAUCGAUUUUCGAAUGAAGAGCUGAGUGAGGCUACUGGUGGAUUUUCGAAAGAUCAGCUUUUGGGUUCUGGUGGAUUUGGGAAGGUUUACAGAGGAGUUUUAUCGAACAAGACGGAGAUAGCAGUGAAAUGUGUGAACCAUGAUUCGAAGCAGGGGUUGAGAGAAUUUAUGGCAGAGAUUUCGAGCAUGGGGAGACUGCAGCAUAAGAAUUUGGUCCAAAUGCGAGGGUGGUGCAGAAAAGGAAACCAGCUCAUGCUUGUGUAUGACUACAUGCCUAAUGGGAGCCUCAACAGGUGGAUUUUCGACAGGCCGAAGAAGGUUUUGGGGUGGGGGCAACGGCGGCGUGUGUUGGCAGACGUGGCGGAGGGGCUGAACUAUCUGCACCACGGCUGGGACCAAGUGGUGGUUCAUAGAGACAUUAAGUCGAGCAAUAUAUUGCUGGACUUGGAAAUGAGAGGCAGGCUUGGUGAUUUUGGAUUGGCCAAGCUGUAUGGGCACGGUGAAGUGCCUAAUACCACUCGUGUGGUCGGCACGAUGGGGUACUUGGCGCCGGAGCUGGCUACCAUAGCGUCACCAACAGCAGCGACUGAUGUGUAUAGCUUUGGAGUGGUGUUGUUGGAAGUGGCGUGUGGAAGGAGGCCUAUUGAAAUGGGGGCAGAGGAGGAGGAGGAGGCAGUGCUGAUCGAUUGGGUGAAAGAGUUGUAUUCGAAAGGGAGGGUGAGAGAGGCGGCGGACCAGAGAAUUAAAGGGGAGUAUGAUGAGGAGGAGAUGGAGGUUGUAUUGAAGCUUGGGUUGGCUUGUUGUCAUCCUGAUCCUCAGAGAAGGCCUAGCAUGAAGGAAAUUGCGGCAAUUUUGGUUGGCGAGACAGUGUCCGAGCCAGCACCUGCCGCAUUGUUAUCAGAACUAGCACGCGGCGAGGGUGGUGAUGGUGCCGGCAGAGAGGAAGAAUCAGGGGAAGUAGCAUUCCAACCCCAGCAUUCAGUGUGAAUAUGUGUUUUGGUUGAACAACACUUUCCUCCCAUCUUUUUCGGCUACACACACUCAUGCUUGAUGUUCAGUUCAACGCACCGUUGCAUCUCAGUGCGUUUGCUGGUGCUGUUCCCAAGUUGCCAAACCUCCAGCAUUUGGAGUUGGUUAUAUAUUCUAGCUGAUGAUCCAUGGGGCCUUCGUCGAUUAGCUGCUUUCCUCCAGGCGUCUCCACACUCGAAGAAACUUGUGCUCCAGGUACGUGUUCCUCCAACUUGGUGGACUAAUGACAUCACAUGUUGCGACAUGGUUUUUGUGCUCUCACUUUCGGCUACAUUGUUCACCCCCUACAUUUACAUUCGCAUGCUUGUACGACCGCUAUUAUUACGAUCGAUAUACUCACGAUCUCUGUUGGACAAUUAUACAACUAUAACUCCUGUCUUGUAAUGGUAGAAAGACUUGAAACUGUGUAUUAGACGACUGUCUCCUUUUUUUAUCUCCCUCAAGCUGAUCUUUCUUGCAGUUUUGUUGGGUUCAAGACUUCUGAUGUUUACUUGCAUGGUCAAAAAAAAAAAAAAAAACAAAAAGAAGAAGAAGACUUGCGACUUUUGAGGUUAAAAGGAUUCAUAAACCACAAGGGUGUUUUGUCCUAGUUUAGCCGUUGUUUUGUAUGAUAUGAUAUAACUUCUUUUUGGUAAUGGAGGCAAGACAUGAAAGCUUGUGGUUACUUUUACUUGUUUUUCUUUUGCUGAA